AGCCAUUUUUAAUUUUGCAAAACUUCCAUUUUGUGGUUUUAGGAAAGUACUCCCUCCAUUUUAUUCUGCUAUGGUGAUUUUCAGAGACAGAGAGAGAAGGAGAAGCUCUUCGAAUCAAAAUUCUUCGCCACUGCUUCAAAUUCAACUGCGGCAGAACUAUUAUGCGCUUGAAAUUAAAGCCACCAUGUACAAAGUGAUAUUUUUGAUAUAUCAUCACUCUUCAAGAAUUUUGGUUGGAAUUUCAGGACUGAUUUCAGAGAGUUGAUGAUACAAAGGUGCUUGCCGUUUUGUAUUCCAAAGUUAGCUGGACUUGAGCUACCUCAAUGAUCCGAGCAAUGACACUGCUGGAGCUAGCAUUUGUGCCUGAUCAGAUACUUUAUGAUGCAUUUUAUGGAAGAUAUGAGAAUGGUACUGGAGCAAUUAUUUUGCUUAUCGUCAUUUGGGGAUCAAUUUUCUUUGCCGGGCUUUCUAUCACUAAACUACUAAAGUGCAGCCAGAGUUGUAUACGUAUUAUCUAGAGAUGGAGGAGUCCCAUUUUCAUCCGUUUGGAGAAAAGUGCACCCCAAGCAUAACAUCAAUUUGCACAGUCGGGUGGGUUGGUGGCUAUGCAGUUCCAUCUUUGUAAGAGAAUGGUUAUGGCGGAGGAAAACUUCAAACCCGGGCCAUUUUAUCUUGGGAGAGCAAGCAGGUAAAUGACUGAGUUCCUAUGAGGAUAGGAACUUGGAAUAGCUACUGGAGUUCCUGAGUUGGAAGCAAUAAAAGCUAGAGCAUCAAAGCCAAUAAAGUCAAGCAACAACUUCUACAAACGAGUGAUUUUCAAAUACGCAAGGGAAGAUGUAGUUCCUAGUCCUGAGUUCCUCUGUAAGCAUAAGAGGAACUCACCACUGUUCCAAAGCAGGAACAACUGAAGCUUCUGAGUUGAAAGCUCCAAAAAGGGGAAGAUAUAAAUGUCUAGGUAGUUUACUAUACUUAGAUUUUAUGUAAAAUAUUAAUGUGCUAAAAUAUUAAUAAAAUAAUUUACUUACAAUUAUUUUGCAUUUAAGUUGAUUUUUGUUUAAGUUAUAUUUUUAUUAUAUUUAGUUAAUAAUAUAUUCAUAUUAGUUAA